rnacentral:lncRNA from 1 species
AGUUUGAUGGCAUCUAAAGAAAUCUGUUGCCAUGCAGUAGUGAGACUCUCCAUGGCAACUUGAAGUCGGGGCCCCUCAGGACUCUGGGGGGGCCACAGUGAGCUCUUCUUCGAACUGCAUCCACCCUCCCUGGGAUGAGCUGCCUCAUGAGGAUCUUUGUCACCAGCGCUUGGGGAGCACCUCCAAAGAGACCCCCUUCUCUGCCCGUGUGCCCCCAUCCAGGACAGCUCCCGUGCCCUUCUGUCUUUGUCUUAAACCCAACCCAGCCAUCCUCAGAAGCUUCCUCCGAGCUGCCCCUUAUGUUGCCUUUCUCAAUCGUUUUGACAAGAAACACCAGCAGGAACAGUCAAGACUUGGAAGAAAUCGGAUUGGGUCAGAAAGAAGGGGGACCUUGGAUAAUGACAGUAAUUGUCACAACUUCCAAUCUUCCUCAAGCUUUAGAGUUCAGGACUCUGGAUCCCCUCACCAAGGCCACGGCACCAGAGAGGAUGAAAAGGGCCGAUGUUGCAUCUCAGCUGCCCUCUUAGCUGACUAGCCGCACGGAAAAAAAGCUCCUGGAUUUUGACUGGCUCUUCCACCUGCUCACCUGCUCCAGCCCUGAGGCAAGAAUGGCUGUGCUACCCAUGUCACCACACCUGAAGCACCCAGCUGCCCUUCCAGGACCAGCCUCAAAUCCAGACAAGUGACAGACUCACGGGGGGCAGGCGCCAGUGUGAGUGGAAAUCACUGGAUCGAUGAUCAAGGGGAUUGUUGCCCAGCUUUCAGUGGCGCGUUGGAGUCUUUUGAGGAAUUCAUCUUGAAACCCGGGAUUUAUUGAGAGCUAAAAGGUUUUUGAAGUUUCCAGUGUU